UUCUUCCUUCAUUUAUACCAGUUUUUGCUUCAUAUACUUUGCUGAUCUGUGAAAAGCUUCUUACAGUUCCUGAGUUUUAUAAGACCUGGCUCAAGUGUGACUGCCUUGCUUCUGUGGCUUCCAAGUCCAAUUAUCACACAAAGGACUCAUCUUGGGUUAGAAGUAAGUAAAAGUUAAUGGAUAGGAAGGGGACCUACAAGACGGUGG